GCCGACCUCAGAGCAGGUGAGACCAC
rnacentral:rRNA from 4 species